rnacentral:rRNA from 1 species
UGCAAGUCGAACGGAAACCUUCGGGUUUUAGUGGCGAACGGGUGAGUAACACGUAAGCAACCUACCCUAAAGACGAGGAUAACCAUUGGAAACAGUGGCUAAGACUGGAUAGGAAGAUAAAAGGCAUCUUGUAUCUUUUAAAAGACCUAGUUAAUAGGUAUGCUUUAGGAGGGGCUUGCGCCAUAUUAGUUAGUUGGUAGGGUAAUGGCCUACCAAGACGAUGAUGUGUAGCUGGACUGAGAGGUUGAACAGCCACAUUGGGACUGAGACACGGCCCAAACUCCUACGGGAGGCAGCAGUAGGGAAUUUUCGGCAAUGGAGGAAACUCUGACCGAGCAACGCCGCGUGAAUGACGAAGUACUUCGGUAUGUAAAGUUCUUUUAUCGAGGAAGAAAAGCAAAUGGCGAACCAUUUGUUUGCCGGUACUUGAUGAAUAAGCCCCGGCUAAUUAUGUGCCAGCAGCCGCGGUAAGACAUAAGGGGCAAGUGUUAUCCGGAAUUAUUGGGCGUAAAGGGUGCGUAGGCGGUCUAGUAAGUCAGUGGUGUAAUGGCAACGCUUAACGUUGUCCGGCUAUUGAAACUGCUAAACUUGAGUUAGAUAGAGGCGAGUGGAAUUCCAUGUGUAGCGGUAAAAUGCGUAAAUAUAUGGAGGAACACCAGAGGCGUAGGCGGCUCGCUGGGUCUUAACUGACGCUGAGGCACGAAAGCGUGGGGAGCAAACAGGAUUAGAUACCCUGGUAGGUCCACGCCGUAAACGAUGAGUACUAAGUGUCGGGUUAAACCGGUACUGAAGUUAACACAUUAAGUACUCCGCCUGAGUAGUACGUACGCAAGUAUGAAACUUAAAGGAAUUGACGGGACUCCGCACAAGCGGUGGAUCAUGUUGUUUAAUUCGAAGAUACCCGAAAAACCUUACCAGGUCUUGACAUGUUUUUGCAAAAUGAUAGUAAUAUCGUGGAGGUUACCAGAAACACAGGUGGUGCAUGGUUGUCGUCAGCUCGUGUCGUGAGAUGUUAGGUUAAGUCCUAAAACGAGCGAAACCCUUAUCGUUAGUUGCCAGCACGUUAUGGUGGGGACUUUAACGAGACUGCCAAUGAUAAAUUGGAGGAAGGUGAGGAUCACGUCAAAUCAGCAUGCCCCUUAUGACCUGGGCUACAAACGUGAUACAAUGGCUGUUACAAAGGGUAGCUGAAACGCAAGUUCUUGGCCAAUCCCCAAAAACAGUCCCAGUCCGGAUUGAAGUCUGCAACUCGACUUCAUGAAGUUGGAAUCGCUAGUAAUCGCGAAUCAGCAUGUCGCGGUGAAUACGUUCUCGGGGUUUGUACACACCGCCCGUCAAACCACGAAAGUUGGCAAUACCCCAAAACGGUAGCCUAACUCGUUUAUUCGAGAGGGCGCCGUCUAAGGUAGGGUCGAUGAUUGGGGUUAAGUCGUAACAAGGUAUCCCUACCGGAAGGUGGGGAUGGAU